rnacentral:sRNA from 1 species
AGGUACCACUCGUACACGGUAGUUCCCACGCGUCGUCCGCACCCACCUCACGACCGCUCGCUAGGUUGUGUUAGCU